UACGUAGGCAGCAAGCGUUGUUCGGAAUUACUGGGCGUAAAGAGUGUGUAGGCGGUGCUCUAAGUCUGUUGUGAAAUCCCUCGGCUUAACCGGGGAACUGCGUCCGAUACUGGAGGGCUUGAGUGUGGGAGAGGGAUGCGGAAUUCCAGGUGUAGCGGUGAAAUGCGUAGAUAUCUGGAGGAACACCGGUGGCGAAGGCGGCAUCCUGGACCAUGACUGACGCUGAGGAGCGAAAGCCAGGGGAGCAAACGGG
rnacentral:rRNA from 1 species